UUGCACUGAUCCGAUCGAGUGGCGGACGGGUGAGUAACGCGUGGGUAACCUGCCUUAUACAGGGGGAUAACAGUUGGAAACGGCUGCUAAAACCGGAUAGGUAGCAGACAAGCAUUUGACUGCUAUUAAAGUGGCCUUGGCCAUGAACAUGGAUGGACCUGCGGUGCAUUAGCUGGUUGGUGAGGUAACGGCCCACCAAGGCGACGAUGCAUAGCCGGCCUGAGAGGGCGGACGGCCACAUUGGGACUGAGACACGGCCCAAACUCC
rnacentral:rRNA from 1 species